GAUGAACGCUGGCGGCGUGCCUAAUACAUGCAAGUCGAGCGAACAGACGCGGAGCUUGCUCCUCUGACGUUAGCGGCGGACGGGUGAGUAACACGUGGAUAACCUACCUAUAAGACUGGGAUAACUUCGGGAAACCGGAGCUAAUACCGGAUAACAUGUUGAACCGCAUGGUUCAACAGUGAAAGACGGUCUUGCUGUCACUUAUAGAUGGAUCCGCGCCGCAUUAGCUAGUUGGUAAGGUAACGGCUUACCAAGGCAACGAUGCGUAGCCGACCUGAGAGGGUGAUAGGCCACACUGGAACUGAGACACGGUCCAGACGCCUACGGGAGGCAGCAGUAGGGAAUCUUCCGCAAUGGGCGAAAGCCUGACGGAGCAACGCCGCGUGAGUGAAGAAGGUCUUCGGAUCGUAAAACUCUGUUAUUAGGGAAGAACAAAUGUGUAAGUAACUAUGCACGUCUUGACGGUACCUAAUCAGAAAGCCACGGCUAACUACGUG
rnacentral:rRNA from 1 species